AUUGAACGCUGGCGGCAGGCCUAACACAUGCAAGUCGAGCGGAUGACAGGAGCUUGCUCCUGGAUUCAGCGGCGGACGGGUGAGUAAUGCCUAGGAAUCUGCCUGGUAGUGGGGGACAACGUUUCGAAAGGAACGCUAAUACCGCAUACGUCCUACGGGAGAAAGCAGGGGACCUUCGGGCCUUGCGCUAUCAGAUGAGCCUAGGUCGGAUUAGCUAGUUGGUGGGGUAAAGGCCUACCAAGGCGACGAUCUGUAGCGGGUCUGAGAGGAUGAGCCGCCACACUGGGACUGAGACACGGCCCAGACUCCUACGGGAGGCAGCAGUGGGGAAUAUUGGACAAUGGGCGAAAGCCUGAUCCAGCCAUGCCGCGUGUGUGAAGAAGGUCUUCGGAUUGUAAAGCACUUUAAGUUGGGAGGAAGGGUUGUAGAUUAAUACUCUGCAAUUUUGACGUUACCGACAGAAUAAGCGCCGGCUAACUCUGUGCCAGCCGCCGCAGUAACAC
rnacentral:rRNA from 1 species